UACAGAGGUCUCAAGCGUUGUUCGGAUUCAUUGGGCGUAAAGGGUGCGUAGGCGGCGCGGUAAGUCGGGUGUGAAAUUUCGAGGCUUAACUUCGAAACUGCAUUCGAUACUGCCGUGCUAGGGGACUGGAGAGGAGACUGGAAUUUACGGUGUAGCGGUGAAAUGCGUAGAGAUCAUGAGGAAGACCAGUGGCGAAGGCGGGUCUCUGGGCCGAUACUGACGCUGAGGAACGAAAGCGUGGGGAGCGAACAGG
rnacentral:rRNA from 1 species